GCACAAGCGGUGGAGCAUGUGGUUUAAUUCGAAGCAACGCGAAGAACCUUACCAGGUCUUGACAUCCUCUGACAAUCCUAGAGAUAGGACUUUCCCCUUCGGGGGACAGAGUGACAGGUGGUGCAUGGUUGUCGUCAGCUCGUGUCGUGAGAUGGUGGGUUAAGUCCCGCAACGAGCGCAACCCUUAUUCUUAGUUGCCAGCAUUAAGGUGGGCACUCUAAGGAGACUGCCGGUGACAAACCGGAGGAAGGUGGGGAUGACGUCAAAUCAUCAUGCCCCUUAUGACCUGGGCUACACACGUGCUACAAUGGAUGGUACAAAGGGCUGCGAAACCGCGAGGUCAAGCCAAUCCCAUAAAACCAUUCUCAGUUCGGAUUGUAGGCUGCAACUCGCCUACAUGAAGCCGGAAUCGCUAGUAAUCGUGGAUCAGCAUGCCACGGUGAAUACGUUCCCGGGC
rnacentral:rRNA from 1 species